rnacentral:rRNA from 1 species
UGGUCAAGUUAUUAAGGGUGCAGGGCGGAUUCCUUUGCACUAGGAGCCGAUGAAGGACGUGAUAAGCUGCGAUAAGCUUCGGGGAGUUGCACGUAAACUUUGAUCCGAAGAUUUCCGAAUGAGGAAACUCACUUAGAGUAAUGUCUAAGUAUCAUUAAGUGAAUACAUAGCUUAAUGAGGGGAACUCAGGGAACUGAAACAUCUAAGUACCUGAAGGAAGAGAAAGAAAUUCGAUUCCGUAAGUAGCGGCGAGCGAACGCGGAUUAGCCCAAACCAAUAAAGUUUUCUUUAUUGGGGUUGCGGACAUAUCAUAACGAAGAGAUAUCGUAAUUGAAGAGGUUUGGAAAGACCCACCACAGAAGGUAAUAGUCCUGUAUGUUAAACGAGAAGACUU